GGCUGACUUCAGGAUACUUGAAAAGAAUGCCAAAGCUAAGUUUACUCUUGUGUGUGGCCUUGAACCAUAUGAGUACCACCAAAUAUCUAAUUAUUCCACUACAAAACAAAUUUUAGUUAAUUUUGUAAAUGCACAUGAGAUAGUAAGAAGUGGUCCAAUGAAAAUUUCCAAACUAGCUGCCACAAGUGUAAUAAGACUGAUCACAUUAACAAGGAAUGUCCAUUGUGGAAAAUUGAGUGAAAGAAUGAAAGAGAUGAAAAAAGAAAAGAAAGAGAAGGCAAACAAAAAGAAUACGAAAGAAUAUGACAUGACGAUUGUAUGAGGAUCAUGCUUAGAAGAUUCUAAUGAUGAAAAGGUAGAUGACAUUACUUUCAUGGCUAUUAGAUAUUCAGACAUGAAAGAAGAAGAAGCAAACUCUAAGUGAAAUAGUGCAAGCAAGCAAUUGUAAUCACAAAAUUAUUCUUAGCAGGUGUGUUCUAUAUUGUCAAGGGUUAAUAUUAUCUAAAGUAAAAUAGUUGAGCACUCAUGUUUCAUGAAUUAAUUGAUCUUAUUCGAAAUAAAAUAAUUGUUAAAUCUCAAGAGUCUUAUUUUUUUUCUUCAAAAUGUCAUUGCUAUCACAUUAAUAAUCUCAUUUCUAUUAUAAUUGGGUCUCCAUUGGUCUUAGUUUCAUCUACACACAUGUUUCAUCCUUUGUCUCUCACAUCUAUAAACUGAUGAAUUUGCAAUAAAUAUUGCAUAUCGUUUUUUUCUCUAACUUAGCCUUCUUGAAUUUUUUUCUUGCAAAAUUUAAAUUUAGAUAUUCCUCCAUUCUCAAAAGGAUUAUAUCUCAUUUGAAGAGAAAAUCUAGUUCCUCAAUUUCAGUUUUUGAGGAAGAACAAACUCUUGAAAAACCUCUUCCUUUUACUCCAUCGAGAACUCCCAUCUAAAAAAUCGUAAAUGCCAAAAGGAUGCCACUCUUCAAGAAGUUCUUAGAGCUAGCACAAAAAAAAGACAUUCUCUCCCUUAUAAUUUUUGAGGAAUACUCAAUUUCAGUUUAGGUUUGAACUUUUCAAACAAUAAAGAAUGCUAUUGAAAAAAUGAACUAUGCUGAUCUACAUGCUUCAAUGUGAAAAGUUGAUACUCCAAUGCAAAGGUUGAAAUAAUGUCUUAGCUAAUAAGACUACUGAACUAGAGGCUGCUUAAGCAUCUCAUGAGAAAAAAAAUAUCCUUCAGAUUAGGUUGAAGCUCUAUAGACUGAUCUUGAUAGAGAAGGAGUUGAAAAUGCUAAAAUUAUUCAUCGGUUGACAUAAUUAUUGCCACUUGUUCCAUCCUUCUCUUCAACUUUCAAUUUUAUUGCCUCUAGCUUUAUUUUAUUCCUGUCUAGUGUUUAUUUUUUGAUUAGUGCGCACCUAUUUUUGCUUGAUUCAAUAUUGACUUAGAUCUUAUGUAGAAUGUAAGUUUAAUGGAAUGAUUAUUUUUUGCUUUAAUGACUCAUGUUCUUGCUCUCUUUAAUACAUUAUUAUGUUGUGUGAAUUCUUUAUCUGAUCGUCUUGAUGAUAACACUAAUGGUCAUAAAUAGUUUAAUUAAUCACUUUGGCUAGUAUGUUAUAUGAUUGAAAUAACUUUUCGAUGAUGCUAAAUGGGGGAAGAUAAGGAUUGUGUAGUGUUUAUAACCUAUUGACUAGCAUAUUUCAUUCUAAUAUUUCAUAUUUGAGUGCCUACAAGUAAAGAUGUUUGAAUGCACAAAGACAAGAUGUUUGUCAUCAUUAAAGAACGAAAAAUUUGUUGGGUUCCAUGAAAUUUUGAUGAUUGAAAAAGUGACAUAUACACUGUCUCAAGGAGUUGAAUCGGUAGCAAUAUCACUAAUGAAUAAAGACAAGUGUGCAAUAAUUAAGUAAUGGAUGAUAGUUUUGUGAUAAACUUAAGAAUGUGUUGAAUUGAAGAGUUAGAGUUAGACUACAACACAAAAAUCAAUGAGUUUGAUUUGAAAAAUAAGACUAAUUAAAAAAGCAAGGAGUUUGAACUGAAGAAAGAGUCUCACUCAAAGUAGAACUCUUCAAGUGAGUGCUUAAUUGAAGAGUGAAGAGUGGAGGAAUAAAUGAAUUUGAUUUGAAGAAGUAGUCUAAAGAGAUAAAGAAUUUAAAUUAAAGAAGGAGUCACACUUGAAGUAGAGCUCUAAGUCAAGAGAGUUCGAGUCAAUCCGGAGUUUAAAACAACUCUAGCUUUUAAGAGUUGUGCUUAAAUAGAAGCAAAGUCGUUUAGAAUAAUUGUGCACUUACAAAACAAAAAGGGCACUUGAAAAAGCAGACUGAAGGAACACAUUGAAGAACCACCUAGGCCUAUUACAAAAUUUGUGUGUUAGAAAAUUUUCUUUGAGUUGUAAUGUUGAUGGUAUCUUAUUUUAAAAAGGGAAAUCCAGUGCACUAAAGCUCUCUUUAUGCGUAGGGUCCGGGGAAGGGCCCGACCACAAGGGUCUAUUGUACGCAACCUUACCUUGCAUUUCUGCUAGAGGUUGAUGGUAUCUUACUUUAGUGAGUUAUAAACUGAAUUAGGGGUGUUGUCUUCAAAUUGUGAUAACUUGAAGACUUGAGAACACAUACCUUGAGAGGUUUGUUUUGAAGCUUAGGAACUAGAGUUAGUUUCUAGGAUUGUAAGAGUUGUAAUUUGAAUUCAUAACUUGACGUUUAGGAAUUAGAGUUAAUUCCUAGGAUUGCAAGAGUUGUAAUCUGAACUCAUAACUUGACGUUUAGGAAUUAGAGUUAAUUCCUUAGAUUACAGAGUUUGUAUCUUAAACGGUUGAGACUCAGUGAUUAAGUGAAGUUGGAGUUAAAUCUUGUAGGGGUAUAGGUCGUAACUUUUUAUACCUUUUGAGCUAGGUGUUUUUCAUGUGAAAAAUAUUAUGUUCUUUACUUAUUGCUUUUACUACUUCAUUAGAACACGUUAAACAACUCGUUUUACUUAUACGCUAAUCAAGAGUAAAUUACAAGAUGGUGUGUAAUAUCAUAUAGAUAUGUUUAGAAAAGGGUAAUAUAAAGGGUAGUUUUGCCCCUUUUACCCAUUUAAAAUAUGCCACGUUAACGUGUGUACGGCUAAAAGCAAUAACUAAAUAAAUUAAGGCCACUUGUCUCGUGUCAUUACAAAAGCAACAUUGGUCAAUAAGUUUCUUACUUUAAUGUCCAUGCAUUAUAUGGAUAAGGUUGCCAACAAUGCCAGCAAAGUGUCUCAUUCACUAUUAUUUGAGAGAGAAACGUAAACUACUAUAUUUAUUUUUUAUUAUUUGCUGUCCCUUGGGUUAUUCCAAAGGUCAUAUUUAUUUUUUUACGACGAUGGAGGAGCUAUUCUCCUAACUAUAAAUAAAAAGAAGAGAAUGUGUUUAUGAUAGCAAGGAAAAAAUACGCGGAAACUAGAAAAAAGAAAGUGAGAGAUUUUAUCAUUAUACCAAUUGUUUAUUAUUCGAUAGAUAUGGUGAUUCAAAAGUUAGAGAUAUGCAUCGCGAUGGUCAAAAUGGCAAUAGAGAUUGUGGCAGUGUUUGUGGAUACAAUUGUUUCUAAACACAAUAAUUCUUCAUCAUCAACAACGCAAUCCGAUAUUAUUCUUCCGACGCCUUAUGUUGGGUUUUAAACGUAUGGUAUAUGGAUUAAUCACAUAGUCCAUCCAAUUUUGUUUGGGAUCGAGACGUAAUAGUUAGUGAUGAAUUCUUUUCUUUUUUACUACAUUUGUUUAGAUGUAUGGAGUUUUGGUAGCUCUCGAGAUCCACAUCAUAGAUGAGCUAGUUAAGAAUUCUUCUUUUUUCUUCUUUUUUUAUUUAAGAAUUCUUGUUUAAGUUUUGUAAUUUGUAGCAUACUUAAAGAAAUUCAGAUCAUGUUCCUUA